UGGGGAAUUUUGGACAAUGGGUGCAAGCCUGAUCCAGCAAUGCCGCGUGCAGGAUGAAGGCCUUCGGGUUGUAAACUGCUUUUGUACGGAACGAAAAGCCUCUCUCUAAUACAGGGGGGUGAUGACGGUACCGUAAGAAUAAGCACCGGCUAACUACGUGCCAGCAGCCGCGGUAAUACGUAGGGUGCAAGCGUUAAUCGGAAUUACUGGGCGUAAAGCGUGCGCAGGCGGUUUUGUAAGACAGUGGUGAAAUCCCCGGGCUCAACCUGGGAACUGCCAUUGUGACUGCAAGGCUGGAGUGCGGCAGAGGGGGGAUGGAAUUCCGCGUGUAGCAGUGAAAUGCGUAGAUAUGCGGAGGAACACCGAUGGCGAAGGCAAUCCCCUGGGCCUGCACUGACGCUCAUGCACGAAAGCGUGGGGAGCAAACAGGAUUAGAUACCCUGGUAGUCCACGCCCUAAACGAUGUCAACUGGUUGUUGGGGAUUUACUUCUUCAGUAACGAAGCUAACGCGUGAAGUUGACCGCCUGGGGGAGUACGGCCGCAA
rnacentral:rRNA from 1 species